rnacentral:rRNA from 1 species
UACGUAGGGGGCAAGCGUUGUCCGGAAUCAUUGGGCGUAAAGCGCGUGUAGGCGGCUUGGUAAGUCUGCUCUGAAAGCCCGGGGCUCAACCCCGGGAGGCGGGCGGAUACUGCUGAGCUCGAGUCCGGAAGAGGCGAGUGGAAUUCCUGGUGUAGCGGUGAAAUGCGCAGAUAUCAAGAGGAACACCUGCGGCGAAGGCGGGUUGCUGGGCCGACACUGACGCUGAGGCGCGAAAGCCAGGGGAGCGAACGGG